CAUAUUAGAGUUAUAAUGAAUUUUUCUUUUACACUGAAAGGGUCUCACGUGGUGAGUAAUAUGAAAU
rnacentral:tRNA from 1 species